UCGAUUUCCUCUCAACUGGAUCCACUCAAUCUUUUCACACACCCCUUCAACUCAAAACCCUAGCUCCAGGUCCAGAAUAACAAAACAAGUAUAUUUCUUAAAGCUCCGACCUGAAUCACCAUCCGAAACUCAACCCGUGACCAGUUAGUUUUUGUCAAAAUGAGUUUUUUGAUUGAAAAAAUCUAUUUAGGGUUUCUGGGCCCGGCCAGAAAUAUUCAGUAAGAAGCGAUGAUGGAGUAAAUGAGAAGAAGUUGAAGACGGCCCGUGAGAGGAAUCUGGACAAGCUUAAGCUUCUUCCAAAGGUAGUCAACUUGAAGCCAGCAAGAAAGCUAUUAAGAUCGAGGUUAGUUCUGGUUUAUCCGCAACUGUUUCAUUCUGUUUAGGGUUUCAUGUUUUAGAAGAUCUGUUUCUGAAUCAGAUGGAGUGUUUGUUUUUGAAGCUAUAAAUAUAUUAAUUUGGUAGUUUUACUAUUAGAUAAUAAUAGGGCAGUGGAUAUGAUUUUUGAGGUCCUGUUAUGUGCAAAUGGGUUUUUUUAAUUAUUAAAACUGUUGUUUUUUCGAGUCAUAAUAAUAAGAAUAAUAAGAUGGAAGGAUGUUGAAGUUACUUCCUGAUACUAGUCUUAAGUUUGUAUAAUUUAAAAUAUGACAUUUUAAAGAAAAGUUUGUAGUUAUUAGACUGAAUAGAUCAUGGGCAUCCAUUUUAAUGGUGGGUGACUAUAUAAAAGAGGAGGUCGGGGCAAUUCAUUUCAUAGACUCAUGCUUGUGUAUGCAUCUAUUUUGGGUUCGAAUCACCGAAUCAGUUUCAGCAGGUUAGUUGGUAUCAUAUUUGGGUAAUGAAAUAAUUGUAAUAAACUUUUAAUGAAUUCAGUUUUGGUAGGUGAGUUGUGUAUGUUUCUCCAAGGUGAUUCGAUCACACUCGCUAAUCGCUAAAGCCGCCAGUCACCACCACUUCGAGUGACUACCAUCGCACCAACGCAUGUACUGCAAACAACAUACUGACGGGUUAUGGGCCGUGGUUGAUGUAUCUUUGGACAACUUGCACCCUUCCACAACCGCAAGAUCUAGAAGAAGGCCAUUGGGUUGUUUGAUUGAAGAACUUCCAAUGGAUAUUCGAAGGUCACAUGGGUUGAACAUGUUGAAGUCGAUGAUAGAGCUGUUCAUGACAUCUAUCGGUCACUAGUGAAUUCUGGUUUAGCAUUUGGGGCCAGACGAUGGGUAGCAACGCUUGACAGACAAUGUGAACGGCUUGCAAGCGCGAUGGCUAGCAAUAUUCCUUGAGGCGACGUUGGAGGUCGGAGAUGAAGUUUUCCUCAAAAGCAAAAGGCAUUCUAAACUCUACUGAGACUGUAGCAAGAGGAAGGGUCUAGAGCUUGGACCCAAAUGAUCUAGUUGGUGGUACAGAGAUUGGACCAGAAUGGUGUGAGGUAAACGUUAAAGUACCAAUAAAAAAAGAUGAAAACUUGGUAAGAGCAUAUGGUUUAUUUUCUACAAUUCAAGAUUGUAUUGGUGCAUCCAUCGCAUGGCCCUAUCCAUUCAUCUCGGUAGUCUAUGAGGAUUGAGGAUGCAUGAUGACUCAAGAUUUUAUGCUUCUUAUUUCUUUAAUUGCGUUUAAUUUCUUUUUGUUAAUUGUUAAGACUUUAUGUUAAAUAAUGUUAUAACUUAUUUAUGGUUAGUGUUUUUGUUAU
rnacentral:lncRNA from 1 species